rnacentral:rRNA from 1 species
UACGUAGGGUGCAAGCGUUGUCCGGAAUUAUUGGGCGUAAAGAGCUCGUAGGCGGUUUGUCGCGUCUGCUGUGAAAACCCGAGGCUCAACCUCGGGCCUGCAGUGGGUACGGGCAGACUAGAGUGCGGUAGGGGAGAAUGGAAUUCCUGGUGUAAGCGGUGGAAUGCGCAGAUAUCAGGAGGAACACCGAUGGCGAAGGCAGUUCUCUGGGCCUUACCUGACGCUGAGGAGCGAAAGCGUGGGGAGCGAACAGG